CAGUAGCCGCGGUAAUACGGAGGGUGCAAGCGUUAAUCGGAAUUACUGGGCGUAAAGCGUGCGUAGGCGGUUUGUUAAGUCUGCUGUGAAAUCCCCGGGCUCAACCUGGGAAUGGCAGUGGAUACUGGCAAGCUAGAGUGUGUCAGAGGAUGGUGGAAUUCCCGGUGUAGCGGUGAAAUGCGUAGAGAUCGGGAGGAACAUCAGUGGCGAAGGCGGCCAUCUGGGACAACACUGACGCUGAGGCACGAAAGCGUGGGGAGCAAACAGGAUUAGAUACCCGCGUAGUCCCUGUCUCUUAUAC
rnacentral:rRNA from 1 species